UUACGGCCGUAUCACGUUGAAACACCGGUUCACGUACGACCACCGAAGUUAAGCAACGUCGAGACUGGUCGGUAACUAGAUGUGUGACCGUUUGUGAAUAGCAG